AAGUCUGAUGUGAUCCUUCGGCUCACCGCAGAAGUGCAUUGGAAACUGGGAGACUUGAGUGCAGAAGAGGACAGUGGAACUCCAUGUGUAGCGGUGAAAUGCGUAGAUAUAUGGAAGAACACCAGUGGCGAAGGCGGCUGUCUGGUCUGCAACUGACGCUGAGGCUCGAAAGCAUGGGUAGCGAACAGGAUUAGAUACCCUGGUAGUCCAUGCCGUAAACGAUGAUUACUAAGUGUUGGAGGGUUUCCGCCCUUCAGUGCUGCAGCUAACGCAUUAAGUAAUCCGCCUGGGGAGUACGACCGCAAGGUUGAAACUCAAAAGAAUUGACGGGGGCCCGCACAAGCGGUGGAGCAUGUGGUUUAAUUCGA
rnacentral:rRNA from 1 species